rnacentral:rRNA from 1 species
GUAGGGAGCGAGCGUUACUCGGAAUCACUGGGCGUAAAGGGCGUGUAGGCGGAUGAGCAUGUCUGGUGUGAAAGCCCCGGGCUUAACUCGGGAAUUGCAUCUGAAACUGCUUUGCUUGAGUCCUGGAGGGGGUAGUGGAAUUCCCAGUGUAGCGGUGAAAUGCGUAGAUAUUGGGAGGAACACCGGUGGCGAAGGCGGCUACCUGGACAGUGACUGACGCUGAUGCGCGAAAGCUAGGGGAGCAAACGGGAUUAGAUACCCCGGUAGUCCUAGCCGUAAACGAUGGGCACUUGGUGUCGGGGGUAUUGAGUCCCCCGGUGCCGGAGUUAACACGUUAAGUGCCCCGCCUGGGGAGUACGGUCGCAAGACUG